rnacentral:tRNA from 1 species
GAGGGUAUAGCUCAGUGAUAGAGCGUAUGCUUAGCAUGCAUGAGGUCCUGGGUUCAGUCCUUAGUACCGUCA